UUCAGUGCACAUGGUUAAGUAUCCUAUGAUGAUCUAAUUAAAUAGUCGGCACAUGCUAGAAAAGCUGUGUGCUAUAUAAAAUAAAUGUUGUUGAUUGAUUGAAUAGCCUAUGUUGUUUUCACACAUUUAAAUUAAGCAUGCUUUUUUCAACAACAAAAAUUACUUGCUUCCAGCAGGUUGAUACACCUAACAUUACAAUAACACACUACAGUUGGCUAAUAAUGACUUACCAGAUGAAGUUGUCUGUGCACUGGUAGGAAACCAUAUUCAUCUUAUGUCCACAUUGCUUGCAUUUCAUCUUUCCUUUUAGCAGAUGUUUUUUCUGUAGCCAUUUGAUCAGUUUUAAACUGGAUUUUUUGUUUUGUUUGACAUAAACUUUAUAAAUUAGUUUUCUAAUGCAACAGUCCAUUAUUAUCAUAGAGGCAUGUAAAGGAUUCAAAAGAAUUUGAAUAGAAUUGGCGCACUCCUUGACUAUAUAGUAGCCUAUUUGGCGCCCUGCCAUUUCAUUGGCUAUCCCAUCCCGGCACACGCCAAUACAUUUUAUCUUCUCCAGUCUAGACCAAUAACGAAUGAGCAGUUUUAGCUCACAUCUGAGCCCGGGUUCAAGCUCACAUCCACAAAGGCGAAGUAUCUUUCUAGAGUCCACACAGCAUGGCCGCUCUGGGGACAAGAGGACGAAAGCGUGUCCAUGACAAGGAGGAAGUUGAAGAACAAUCUCAAGAAGAUGAACUUAACAUUAACCAAGAAUUAAUUAUAUGGAAAAAUAAAGCAAAGAUCCUCCAGGAUCGAGUGGAACAAC